rnacentral:lncRNA from 1 species
GGGGAACACUGCAGGAGCUCAAUAAGUGCACGUGCGAUUUGAAAAGCUGCCUCCAGCUUCUGCCACCUAUUUUACGGCCAUGGUGGACGGUCCCCUGGAACCCGAAGAUGACUACAUGUCUCCAUCCCAAACUGAGGUUUGCCCACCCGUGACAGAGAGGAAGGGAUGCUAACGGAAGCAGUCCCAGAGGGUUCUUGAGAUGAUCCCACAGAGUAACCACAUGGAAGAUUUAGCACAGUGGUUGCUAGACUACCAGAGGACUUUGAGUAGAAGAGAGAUCUAGAAUGAUUUCGUCUCUAGAAACUCAGCAAGAAGGCACAGGAGCUAUGACCUACACGACUAUUGGCGAUGCAAGACUGGAACUGAAGAGUCAAGGUCAAGUGCUGAGGGGAAGCUGAGCAUAUUCUCCACCAGCCGCAGCAUCCAGCCAGUAAUUAGUAUUCACGCGUGCAACGUAUUUGUGGUCUACCCCAGGAGUUCAGUAGCAAGAGCAUGAUUAGUUGGUGUCUUUGAACUCAAGAAGUAUGUGUGAGUUUUCUUUUGACAUCAAGUACUAGCUUUCAGAGAGCAAAGAACAUCCUUUCAGUCCCUUUAGAAACGGCUUGUAAGGUACAAGUUCUGACACCAUCUAUUUGAUCUGUGGGAAAAGGAAAGCCUGAUCCUCUGGGCAUUUCACAUUCAAUGCAAACGCCCUUCUUUUGUGUUUGAUGAUGGGGGCUUUUGAAAAGGAAUAUUUAAGAAGUUAACUCUAGUUAAUAAAAAGUGAAGUCACUAUAGAUGUAUGCCCAUGCUGAAGACAGGCACGCCUGCAGAAGCAGAGUUCCUGGAUCAGGAUUUCUGAGUGCUUGCUGU